CCUACGGGAGGCAGCAGUGGGGAAUAUUGGGCAAUGGGCGCAAGCCUGACCCAGCAACGCCGCGUGAAGGAAGAAGGCUCUCGGGUUGUAAACUUCUUUUAUCAGGGACGAAGCAAGUGACGGUACCUUAUGAAUAAGCCACGGCUAACUACGUGCCAGCAGCCGCGGUAAUACGUAGGUGGCAAGCGUUAUCCGGAUUUACUGGGUGUAAAGGGCGUGUAGGCGGGAAAGCAAGUCAGAUGUGAAAACCAUGGGCUCAACCUGUGGCCUGCAUUUGAAACUGUUUUUCUUGAGUACUGGAGAGGCAGACGGAAUGCCUAGUGUAGCGGUGAAAUGCGUAGAGAUUAGGAGGAACACCAGUGGCGAAGGCGGUCUGCUGGACAGCAACUGACGCUGAGGCGCGAAAGCGUGGGGAGCAAACAGGAUUAGAUACCCGUGUAGUC
rnacentral:rRNA from 1 species